UGAUAGCAGCCUGUGCAAAGUAUCCAGAGCUCCAGAGGAGCGUUGACCACAGAAACAGAAAAAUUGAUUGCCUACAGAACUUGUGCAAGGUGACAUGGGCCUGAAGGAGAAAAGAUCUGGAAAUCAGUGAGCAAAAAUGCCAGUCCUUAACCUCUGGGUGCUAAGGAGAAGUGAAGAUAAAAUAUAAAAGAAUAUUAAUAUCUGUGGACAGCCUAAUGAUACAGCAUAAAAUUGAAAUGAUGUCAUUAAUUCCUAAGUAUGGAACAACAUUCUUUCUGAGAGGAAUUGUUUUGAUUAUGAUUAGACAUGUUUAAAAAAA